rnacentral:misc_RNA from 1 species
CUUUUCCAUUAUUGGUUACCCGAAAAAGGGGGAGAAACAUGAGAGCCUGCUAUUGGUCAGGUCGGGCUAGUACAUUACAGUUGGGCAUUGAUACAAAUUUUGUUAAGAUUUGGGCAAAAUUUUUUACAAACUUUAAGGGCCUUUUAAAGUAAGGCCAGUUAAAAAAAUACAAUCACGUCUAACUAAAAUUUCUUGCAAGAAAGAGUUUCCAUGGAAGCAGAAUUUGCCAACAUGUCCUUAAAAUCAACAGCUUUGUACUUUCAAAGUUGGGAAAGCCUUCUAUACUGCUCUCUCAGUCAAAAAUGAAAACGCCAACUUUGAGGCACAUCCAAAUAAACUACCAAUCAACUAUGCAUCUAACAAAUUCUACGGAUUAAUAAUCUCCUUAGCUGUGCACCUUCUUCCCCGUAAAUAUCCUACAACUAAUCUGCAGUCAACAAAGAUACAAUACAAAUGAUAAUCUGUAUCAGCACUAGCCCCUCUGGACUUACAGUUCAAUUUUAAGUUUCUGAUACACCUCUUUCUUCAGCUAAAUUCAAAUUACCCAAAAGCUUGUCCAGCGUUAAACAAUAAGUUGAAUGGACCAGAAGAUGGAUAAUAUUACAUCUUCCAAGUAAUUGCAAACAAUCAGCAUCCAUAGAGCUAUAAUGAUUAAUGAGCUACAUUGACCACAAUUAUCUAAUCAGAGCUUGAGCCAACAUGUAUUGUCAAUGCCAAUAUGGGAAUAAAAGAUGCACAGAUUAUAUAGAACCAAAUGAAAAUAAAGAUAUGUUAGCUAAUAGAUUGAAUUACCAAGGUCCACAUUCUUCCUGCAAGCCAAAGAUUGUGAUACAAGGUUUCCUGCUAGUACCAAGCCACUAUCUGCAAGGUAUGAAUAAAUACACAGGAUAUACUAAGUGAUACCUAUGGAAAGCUUCAUGUUUUUUUCCAGAAGUUUUUAAAAUUCGGAAACCAAGUUGUAUCAUAAAAUAAAACAAAUUAAAUUCACUUUUUCAUCCAUGGAAGCAGAGCAAUCCCUUCUAUAUGAUAAAAGCAAAAAGAAAAUCCAUUGCAGAAGACAAAAGUCAUUUUUGAGGAAGGAAUUCCAAGAUCAUAUUCAUAUCUCAAUUCUGGGUCUUGAAUAAUG